AUGAGGGACUGAGGGAGCAGCUGGGCUAGAAAUGUUGUAAAACCACUGUGAUCCUUAAAGAUGGCUAGCAGGGAAAAUUGUGGCAACUUUUCCUAAAAGCCUGUGCUUGAGGACCUGGUUGCUGAAAGUGGUAAUCAGAUAAGACAUGUGGCAGUUUGAUCAAACUCCUAGCAACACAUUUGGGUGUGUUCAUCCCAGGGAUGCCUUUAUAAUUUAUAAUUAAGGUGAAGCUUUGGAUGCUCACAUCCAGCCAACAGACUGGAUGAUAUGCCACUUACCCAUAUUAUUCUUCCACCUGAAACCACAGGACCUAAGGCUUAAUAUCUUACUAGAAAAAACAGGAAAAAUUAAUCCUGGUUUUGCAAGAAGGUAUUGGAAAAGAGUUUCUCAGAAAUUACCAUAUUUGUUCAAGAAUUUAAAAAGGUCUAUGCAGUGUGCUGUACAGGGAGUGAAGAGUGGUCUGAACUAAAAUUCUUGGAAGAGAGCAAGCAGCCCAUGCAUCUCGCAAAGAGCAAGAAAUGAUGAAUGAGGCAGACACAGGAGCAGAUGAAGAUGUUAUGUUCAUAUCAGUCAUAUGUGAAGUGAUUUACUUCUAUUUUUGCUUUCAGCUUUGACUGGCACCGCAAAUUUUAAGGAUGUUCCACAACAGUGGACGGACAGAGUGCAGUGUUUGUUUUCUCUGGUUGACAAAAGUCUAAUAAUAGUAGUAACCUCAGGGUCAGAGGGAGUUAUCAAAUCUGAUCAUGAUAACUGCUUAAAGUAAAAGACCUAAGCAAUAGUGUACCAGAGCAGGAAAGAAAGGCAGAAUUAGAAAAUCACACUGUGGCCUCCUAUUUCUGCAUCAUAUAUUCAUGUGAAUCUGAUGCCAUGUAGCACACUCAGCAAGGUAGUGAGAGGCUGUAUCUGAAAUUUUCUAUCUCACCUGGGAGACUGACUUGGUGGUAGGAAGACCAGGCAGGGACAAGGAAAUUUGGUUUUCUGGUCCCUCCUUUGUUGGAAACAUCUGUGACUUCUGGAAACUCCAAUGUAUUUCAACUCAUUCCUACCUCUCCUGCCCAUGAAUGACUUGCUGUAUGUCCCUCACCCAUAUGGAUAUGUUUGAGAAUUAAUGUUAUUAAAGAUUAGAAAGGAUUAGGUUGAUAUUGCAGCUGUACAGAUCUCACAAAACAGGCAGGGCUUUGGAUUAUGGGAAUUCUCAAUGUUCCUUCCAGCUUUUCAUCCACAUGAUUUCAACAUUUGCAAUACUCAUAUUACAUGGUGAUUAAAAUCUGAUAGUAGGUAUUUGAUAGUAUACCUUUAACAUGUAGAGACAUAAAAUGCUAUCUUUUGGGUUCUGUGGGAGAUGUGACUGGAUUUAACUUACUUUUCCAGAUGAAAUAGUAAGUUCAUUUCUUCCAUUUCUUUUGUCUUUCACAACUUGGAUUUGAGGGUGUUUCCUGGGGCACAAAUAACAUAACGACUGAAGUGAGAGGUUCUGGGAUUCUCUUUGUACCUAUUAUAAAAUACAUAGCAAUAGAUGGAAUUUCAGUCACUAUAAGAUAAAAAUAACAGAAGCCUGAAGUCAGGUCUUGAAAAUUACUUACAACAUUUUCAGAUCAAUGUUAUGUUUUGUGAUUGCAUAUUUAUUUAAGUUUUUGAUAACAUCAUCUGAAAGCGUUAUGGCUUGAUAAAAGAGUGGAAUAAAGAUAUAGAGAAUUUCA